GGUUGAACAGGGAGAAGUGUUUACCCAAGACUGUCUGAGCAGAGACCCAAUCCCGGUGGAAGGUAGCCAAGAUCGAGCAAGGCAAUACUGAGCACGCUGGGGAGGAGUCCUGAGAGGGCAAAGGCUCCCUCUGUGAGGAGGCAGGGUGGGAAGUGCCACGCAGGAUCUAGGCGGGGCUGCACCAGUGCCAGAAUGUUUAGGGGUGUUUGUUUGAAGGCCAGCUGCGGGUGAGGGAAUGGAAGCCAAAAGGUAACCCAGGCAGCAGCAAAACAAGCAAGACAGAUUGCUUGAUGAGGCCAAGGGACGGUGACAGGAAGCAGUAGCAGCAAUUCCUGUAUUCGGCAAGCUUUGUGCUCCCCAAAGAUAAACAACCACCACAAAAUACCAAUCACAGCUUGGUUUGCAUCCAAUCCUGUAAACAUGCAUUGAAUGUCUACUCCAUGCAAGACACAAGACAUGGUGCUAGAUGCAGAGAGGAGUUAACUCUGAUCAAGUCGCAUGCCAAAAGAGGACAGAAGAAUGAGACACUCGGAAGUGAAACCAAGAGGAAGUUUUGUGAGUAGGAUUCUCUCAACUGCCUGGACUGCUUCUGCCUCAAGGGACCUCUCUUCCCCCGCAACAGCUUGCAUUAUCCACGAGGCACUUUCUUGAGACCUUAUAUCUUAUACUCAGCUUGUUCAUUUAUGAGGAAAUAUUUACUGAGAAGCUACUGCAUGCCAGGAGUUGAGAGAUGUGAUAAGGCAUCAGACGCAGUUUCUGCCCUCGAGAUAAUUUCCUCCCUUACCUGGGUCCAUUGGUUGGUCUGAGGCAUCUAAGGGAACAAGUUAUCAUGAGGCUUAAGAGCAAACCAAGAAGGGCCCACUUAAUUGCCCUGCCACUCACCCAUGUAUGAAAAGAGGCAGUUCAGAGAGGCCAGAGUUGGUGGUGUCUAGCCAAUACUGGUUGGAUAUCUGACAAAUCGUGCAUGAUCACAAGGUGAUGAGCAUGGCGAUCAAGGAGAAUGUCUUGAAAAAGGAGAAGAUGGGCCACUGUGGACCCUGUGUGACUUAUUCAGAAAAGUAAGGAAAGAUAUUUUUGCUGCAUUUUUUUCUGAGCCAUUGGAACAAUGGAGGCCAUUUCCUCCCUGUGAAGAACCAAGUUCCUGCUGAGGUUUCUGAUGUGAGUAUGUAAGUUCAGGGACGCCUUUCAUUUGCUGUUCCAUAGUCAUUGUGAAACUCAGUUAUAAACUUGUUCCAGUGAGGAACCAAACAGAGGCUCAGAUGUCAUCUACUGCAGAGUGUCUGAGAUGCACAGAAGAUGGGCUCUGAUGUCACACUGAGACCUUGGACAGUUCUUUCCUCUUGAAACCUCAUGUUCCUCAAUUGCUAACAUGGAUAUGAUCUGCCUCAUAAGACCACCAAGAACAAUGAAUACAGUACCAGAAGACACUAAGACACUGUGAAUAAUGACCAGUGCUCAGGAAAGGGUAUAACUUUCUGGAUAAUCCACUAGUUUGGCCAAUAGAUAUCAAUGGCAAGAGAACGUAUCAGGUCAGUGGAACUUUCCUAGUAUCAUUUCAGACUUCUCUCUCUUAGGUGUCAACUGUGAAAUUUAAUCUUUUAUGUGGAAAGUGCUUUGUGGAAGAGUUUGUAGAUAGUUCAGAGGGAUUCUUUUUCUGACUAGGGCAUCUUUACCUCAUUUUUCAGGAGUUUAAAAUGGUAGAUAAUGUCUUUAGAUUAUCUUUAUUUAAAAGUAUGAUUCUUCUGUUAAGUGCUAACAUUAAAUUGCUUAGGAAGAGAUUGGUUUGUCUAAAAAACAUGCAGAUUCAUGUAUCCAGUAUCAUAUAAUAUAUAGGAUUCCAAAGUACAUAGGCAAAAAGUGAAGAACUUAACUACCCAGCUAUUACGCUUGUGUAACCUGACACUUCACUACGUAACAGCAUGGGAUGUAUUUUCUAUGUUAGUAUUUGUAUCUCUUUAGAACAAUGGCCAAGAUAAAAGCAGCCCUUCUGGAAAGUGCAUUUGUAGCCACCAGUGUAUGUUCCAUUAUGUGUUCUUAAGAACUUCUUCUCUUAAUCCUGUCAGAGUUGUCGCCGGACCUAUUCCACAAGUCACCACCCAG